rnacentral:rRNA from 1 species
AUUGAACGCUGGCGGCAGGCUUAACACAUGCAAGUCGAGCGGGGGGAGGUAGCUUGCUACCGGACCUAGCGGCGGACGGGUGAGUAAUGCUUAGGAAUCUGCCUAUUAGUGGGGGACAACAUCUCGAAAGGGAUGCUAAUACCGCAUACGUCCUACGGGAGAAAGCAGGGGAUCUUCGGACCUUGCGCUAAUAGAUGGGCCUAAGUCGGAUUAGCUAGUUGGUGGGGGAAAGGCCUACCAAGGCGACGAUCUGUAGCGGGUCUGAGAGGAUGAUCCGCCACACUGGGACUGAGACACGGCCCAGACUCCUACGGGAGGCAGCAGUGGGGAAUAUUGGACAAUGGGGGGAACCCUGAUCCAGCCAUGCCGCGUGUGUGAAGAAGGCCUUAUGGUUGUAAAGCACUUUAAGCGAGGAGGAGGCUACUUUAGUUAAUACCUAGAGAUAGUGGACGUUACUCGCAGAAUAAGCACCGGCUAACUCUGUGCCAGCCGCCGCGGUAA